rnacentral:rRNA from 1 species
UACGAAGGGUGCAAGCGUUAAUCGGAAUUACUGGGCGUAAAGGGUGCGUAGGCGGUUAGUUAAGUCUGUCGUGAAAUCCCCGGGCUCAACCUGGGAAUGGCGAUGGAUACUGGGCAGCUAGAGUGUGUCAGAGGAUGGUGGAAUUCCCGGUGUAGCGGUGAAAUGCGUAGAGAUCGGGAGGAACAUCAGUGGCGAAGGCGGCCAUCUGGGACAACACUGACGCUGAAGCACGAAAGCGUGGGGAGCAAACAGG